CCUACGGGUGGCAGCAGUGGGGAAUAUUGGGCAAUGGGCGCAAGCCUGACCCAGCAACGCCGCGUGGAGGAAGAAGGCUCUCGGGUUGUAAACUUCUUUUAUCAGGGACGAAGCAAGUGACGGUACCUGAUGAAUAAGCCACGGCUAACUACGUGCCAGCAGCCGCGGUAAUAAGUAGGUGGCAAGCGUUCUCCGGAUGUACUGGGUGUAAAGGGCGUGAAGGCGGGAAAGCAAGUCAGAUGUGAAAACCAUGGGCUCAACCUGUGGCCUGCAUUUGAAACUGUGUUUCGUGAGUACUGGAGAGGCAGGCGGAAUUCCUAGUGUAGCGGUGAAAUGCGUAGAUAUUAGGAGGAACACCAGGGGCGAAGGCGGUCUGCUGGACAGCAACUGACGCUGAGGCGCGAAAGCGUGGGGAGCAAACAGGAUUAGAUACCCUUGUAGUC
rnacentral:rRNA from 1 species